AUCCAGCUGACGCGUCCCAAAUAGGACGAAACGUGCAUCCUGUAU
rfam:Schistosoma haematobium scaffold946_9, whole genome shotgun sequence.